rnacentral:misc_RNA from 1 species
GGUACUCUAUUUGUAAACUGCAUAAUCCUAUGAAGAAGCAAAACUGCAGAAUAGCAUGCAAGUGAAGCCUUUUAUGUGAAGCAGGAGAAGCUUAAGCUUGCAUUUUAAUUAAGAAAUCAAGAUAUGGUAAAGAAAUAUCCAUAUAAGCAACUCAUAAGAUUUGUUAUGAGUGAGUUGUUUAAAGGUCUAACUGAUGAUGGG